rnacentral:misc_RNA from 1 species
UAUAUAUACACGUGCUUACAUUAAUACAUAUGUAUAUAAAAAAAAAAUUUGAAACAUAACGUCGAAACGCCCCACGAUGUCUUCUAACGAGACGGACUCGAUGGAGGUCUAUGCGAACCCGAACUGGAUCCAUUUGACAAUAAUGAUUGCCGUGACGGUCCUAAUUUUGUUGUCGUCUCUCUUCACUCUGGCCGUCAUCGUUUACUCCAACGGUUACCGGUCAUUACAGGGCAUUUUCAUGAUCUGUAUAGCUUCGUCUAAUUUAUUGGUCGGCCUUUUGGUCACACCCGUCGGCAUAUUUCUCUCGCAAAACCCGGACAGUCGAACGAUCGAGAAGAUUUGUCCCGUGUCCUGCAUCACCCUCCUCUGGACUGUCACCUUCGUUCUCUACUGCAUCGGCUUCAUGGCCCUGGAAAAGUACUUCAAAAUCAAGUUAUCCAUCAACUACGUGAACCGGAUUCGACCCCUCUACGGUUGGAUUGUAGCUUGUCUGACAGCCGUCGGCAGUGCCGUCGUCGUCGCCCUCCCGAUAUGGAUCGAAGGUCCUGAAAACUUCCGUAUUUACUCUGACACCAGUUUUCUGUGCAUCUUCAGCUACAGAGGCUUGGGCUACAUUUCCACACCGGCCAUCCUACUUAAUAUCGGCUCGCAUUUGGCCCUCGGCCAGCUCGUGCGUCACAUCAAGCGAAACCUCAACCAAAUGUGUCCGUCGAUGCCUCGCCGACUCAACCGCGACCUGACGGCGGCGAAAACCAUUUCCAUUUCACUCGGGAUUUUUCUCUGCUCCUAUAUUCCUGCUACAGUCUGUAUCUUCUUACGACAAUACACUGUCGUGGACAUACCAAAAUCAGUGUUUUUCGGAGUCACUUGGUUGACGAUCUCAAACAAUUUCUUUAUUUCCAUCCUGUAUUAUCAACACAACAGUGUGUUCCGGUACAAGGCCCAGAAACUGAUUCAAGUUAUGUGUAAUCCUUGCCAGUCGUUGUUCUGCAGCAAAACAAACUUUAAAGGACUCUGGACAUUAACUGACGUCAAUGACCAACUAAGUCUAUAACCAUUAGCUGAGUGAACUGGAACAAAGGGGAAAUAAAGUGUCUUGCUUAAAGAUCCAACGUGCCGCCGGGAAUCGAACUCACGAGCUUACGACUGUAAGCCGAAUACCCUGACCGCUAAGCCACGCACCUUCACUACUCUUCAGCUCACCUGUGACGGACCAGCACCCCGUCCAGGUGUGGAUCCUAUGCGCCAGUGAUACCGGAAAAACCGGCCCUUAUGAGCCAGGAAUGGAUUGAGAAUUUCGGCCUGAAAUAUAAUCGUCAUUAACUCGAAUACUAAAACUAAAUUCAUGUGAAAAUAAUUAUAAAAGGUAAAGACCCCUUUCGGAAUGUCCAUGAGAUUGCACCUAGAAAGUUACCCUUCAUGGCACAAGUCCAGGCAAGUCCAGGUUGUUUAUGGAAGACCAGCAGUGGCCCAUGCAUACCAGCCUCCCUUCUAUACGCCACCAAUGAUAUCCAAGGGAUAAGCAAAGACCGAUAUAGCUUGGCAACUGUGACGUCGCGACUCAUUUCUACAGCUGAGUGAACUGGAGCAACAUGAAAUAAAGUGUCUGAGCGAGCAAGGACAGAAGAGGCAGCCCGGUCCGGGAUUCGAACUCACUACCUCAACCCAAUGAGCAAUGCACCUUCACAUGUACAAAUGUAUAUCUGCUAAUAAACGGUUACAAUUAACACCAGU